AUGAACGCUGGCGGCGUGCUUAACACAUGCAAGUCGAACGAUGAAGCCCAGCUUGCUGGGUGGAUUAGUGGCGAACGGGUGAGUAACACGUGAGUAACCUGCCCUUGACUCUGGGAUAAGCCUGGGAAACUGGGUCUAAUACCGGAUAGGAACGUCCACCGCAUGGUGGGUGUUGGAAAGAUUUAUCGGUCAUGGAUGGACUCGCGGCCUAUCAGCUUGUUGGUGAGGUAAUGGCUCACCAAGGCGACGACGGGUAGCCGGCCUGAGAGGGUGACCGGCCACACUGGGACUGAGACACGGCCCAGACUCCUACGGGAGGCAGCAGUGGGGAAUAUUGCACAAUGGGCGAAAGCCUGAUGCAGCGACGCCGCGUGAGGGAUGACGGCCUUCGGGUUGUAAACCUCUUUCAGUAGGGAAGAAGCGAAAGUGACGGUACCUGCAGAAGAAGCACCGGCUAACUACGUGCCAGCAGCCGCGGUAAUACGUAGGGUGCGAGCGUUAUCCGGAAUUAUUGGGCGUAAAGAGCUCGU
rnacentral:rRNA from 1 species